AUUGAACGCUGGCGGCAGGCCUAACACAUGCAAGUCGAGCGCGAAAGGCCUUCGGGCUGAGUAGAGCGGCGGACGGGUGAGUAACGCGUAGGAAUCUACCUGGUAGUGGGGGACAACAUGGUGAAAACCAUGCUAAUACCGCAUACGCCCUAUGGGGGAAAGCGGGGGACCUUCGGGCCUCGCGCUAUCAGAUGAGCCUGCGUAGGAUUAGCUUGUUGGUGAGGUAAAGGCUCACCAAGGCGACGAUCCUUAGCUGGUCUGAGAGGAUGAUCAGCCACACUGGAACUGAGACACGGUCCAGACUCCUACGGGAGGCAG
rnacentral:rRNA from 1 species